GAUGAAGAACGUAGCGAAAUGCGAUAAGUAAUGUGAAUUGCAGAAUUCAGCGAAUCAUCGAAUCUUUGAACGCACCUUGCGCCCUUUGGCCAUUCCGAAGGGCAUGCCUGUUUGAGUAUCAUGAACACCUCAACUCUUUAUGGUUUUCCAUGAUGAGCUUGGACUCUGGGGGUUUUGCUGGCUCACAGUCGGCUCCUCUAAAAUGAAUCAGCUUACCAGUGUUUGGUGGGUAUCAUGGGUGUGAUAACUAUCUACGCUUGUGGUUUUUCCACCAGGUAACCUUCAGCAGUGGAGGUUCGCUGGAGCUCAUAGAUGUCUCUCCUCAGUGAGGACAGCCCUUUGAAUGUUUGAUCUCAAAUCAGGUAGGACUACCCGCUGAACUUAAGCAUAUCAAUAAGCGGAGGA
rnacentral:misc_RNA from 1 species